CCUAGGUGGCAGCAGUGAGGAAUAUUGGUCAAUGGACGAGAGUCUGAACCAGCCAAGUAGCGUGAAGGAUGACUGCCCUAUGGGUUGUAAACUUCUUUUAUAUGGGAAUAAAACAGGGUAUGCAUACCCUCUUGUAUGUACCAUAUGAAUAAGGAUCGGCUAACUCCGUGCCAGCAGCCGCGGUAAUACGGAGGAUCCGAGCGUUAUCCGGAUUUAUUGGGUUUAAAGGGGGCGUAGGUGGAUAGGUAAGUCAGUUGUGAAAGUUUGCGGCUCAACCGUAAAAUUGCAGUUGAAACUGGCAGUCUUGAGUACAGUAGAGGUGGGCGGAAUUCGUGGUGUAGCGGUGAAAUGCAUAGAUAUCACGAGGAACCCCGAUUGCGAAGGCAGCCUGCCGGGGUGCGACUGACGCUGAGGCUCGAAGGUGCGGGUAUCAAACAGGAUUAGAUACCCUGGUAGUC
rnacentral:rRNA from 1 species